rnacentral:rRNA from 1 species
CCUACGGGAGGCAGCAGUGGGGAAUAUUGCGCAAUGGGCGAAAGCCUGACGCAGCGACGCCGCGUGAGGGAUGAAGGUCUUCGGAUCGUAAACCUCUGUCAGCAGGGAAGAACGGUCACUGUGCUAAUCAGCAGUGAAUUGACGGUACCUGCAAAGGAAGCACCGGCUAACUACGUGCCAGCAGCCGCGGUAAUACGUAGGGGGCAAGCGUUAUCCGGAUUUACUGGGUGUAAAGGGAGCGUAGACGGCCAGACAAGUCAGAAGUGAAAGCCCAGGGCUCAACCCUGGGACUGCUUUUGAAACUGCCGGGCUGGAGUGCAGGAGAGGUAAGCGGAAUUCCUAGUGUAGCGGUGAAAUGCGUAGAUAUUAGGAGGAACACCAGUGGCGAAGGCGGCUUACUGGACUGUAACUGACGUUGAGGCUCGAAAGCGUGGGGAGCAAACAGGAUUAGAUACCCGAGUAGUC